rnacentral:other from 1 species
GGGUCCCUGGCGUAUUCGCCAGACAUUCAGUCCUCGAGCCGAUAUUAUCCAAUCGGGGGUUCCCGGCCUCUGCAGGUGUGCAUGUCCGGCACAGUCCGGAAAGCCUGAUGCAGUGCGGGGACCACCACCUUGAACCAUCGGGUUCAAGGGCAGUACUGUCAGCGGUAUGCCGGGAAUCCU